GUAGCCUAAGUGGUUAGAGUGUCCGCCUCGGAUGCGGGACGUCAUAGGUUCGAACCCCGACCCA